rnacentral:lncRNA from 1 species
UUUUCAGAAAAGCAGGAGGGGCGUGCAUGGGUACCAUCAUCAAACCCACCGGGCACCUCCCAAAACAUUCUUUCGCCCCCCCUAAUUCCCUUCCUGGCCCUCAUAAAUCCUGCCCAUGCUCCGGGUUUCUUUUGCUCCUUUUCCCAUGCCAGGUUUAGUUUAUGUUUUCUGUGAUAUAACAUGCGGAAUAACCAGUACGUGACCGGAUAUUUUAUUGACCGUUUGAAUAAUAUUGCAGAGAAGAAUGAUGGGUUUGUAGUUUAAACAUGGAAGGCCGCCCAAUGACCAUCUUGACUACCGUGCCAUUUUGUGGUGCGUCUCUAAUUUGUCCUCCAAUUCCAAAGGAGCUUCACCUGGCGUCAGAACUCCUGUCUUUUAGCCAACCAACGACCAUUUCGAAGUCAUCAUGCUGCUGCACCUCCUUCAGCUCAAGAGAUCUACAAGGUGGAUAUUAAGUUCGAAUUGUGACAAAAAAAGUGGAGGAUAGAGAUUUGAACUUAAUUAGCCAUGUUGAUAUGUAAUUUAUGGUUUGAUGGCUGUGAUAGGUUUGCUGUGGUAGCUAGCUAGAGACAUUAUUAUAUAUAAGCUUUAUAUGAUAUCUAAAUUGGCUUUCUAAAAUUGUCCUCUAUGUAUCUUUUAAGAAGGACUCCAGGA